UUCACGAACUUUCGGUAACUGCAGGGUGCCUUCUAUCUGUUUGUGGAUUUUAGCUCCUACUACGGGUCGGAAGUCGAAGGCUUCGGCAUCGUAAAAGACUCCGAAUCCCUUUGCCGGUUCCUUCUAGACAAGGCCCAGGUCGCGCUCGUUCCGGGAGAUGCAUUCGGGGACGACAAGUGCGUAAGGAUCUCCUAUGCUGCUUCUCUCUCUACACUACAAGCUGCAGUGGAGAAGAUCAAAGAAGCCAUGGUUUUGCUCGAAUCCCCUGUUUCUGUUUAAAUCAUUCAUAAAUUUGGCUUUGCGGAUGUCGUAAUUUGAUCAUUUGUCUCUAAAUUUUAACAUUUAGAUUGGGGGAUCUUCGCAUUGAUCUCUUUUGCUCUCGGAACUUCUUGUUGUGGCGUGAAGUUGUAUUUAAAACAGAGCAUGAUUUGUGCCUUUGGGUGAAAGUAACUUUGUUAUCAUCAAUAAAUAAUAUAUUGCGCUGUUCAGAGUUAAAA